rnacentral:rRNA from 1 species
GACGAACGCUGGCGGCGUGCUUAACACAUGCAAGUCGAACGGAAAGGCCCUGCUUUUGUGGGGUGCUCGAGUGGCGAACGGGUGAGUAACACGUGAGUAACCUGCCCUUGACUUUGGGAUAACUUCAGGAAACUGGGGCUAAUACCGGAUAGGAGCUCCUGCUGCAUGGUGGGGGUUGGAUAGUUUCGGCGGUUGGGGUUGGACUCGCGGCUUAUCAGCUUGUUGGUGGGGUAGUGGAUUACCAAGGCUUUGGCGGGUCGCCGGCCUGUGUGGGUGACCGGGCACAUGGGGACUGAGAUACGGCCCAGACUCCUACGGGAGGCAGCAGUGGGGAAUAUUGUACAAUGGGCGGGAGCCUGAUGCAGAAACGCCGCGUGCGUGAUGACGGCCUUCGGGUUGUAAACCGCUUUCGCCUGUGACGAAGCGUGAGUGACGGUAAUGGGUAAAGAAGCACCGGCUAACUACGUG